GUUGCUUGUACCAAAUGGGUAGCAGAAAAAAGGAGGUUAUAGCAAUAAUUGGUGGUGGAAUAGGCGUCCUGUUGGCUUGCAGAAUAUGCAAUCACCAAAGGAUUUGAUCCAAUUGUGUUUGAGUAGCAUUGGAGUGAGGGUAUUGAGAGUACUUGCAAAGUUGCAGACACCAAAACCCCUCUCUGGCCCGAUUCUGUAACUGAAGCCAUCAAACGGUGCAUUGAAUCAUACGCACGUCACUUUGAUUUGCUUCGCCACAUUCAAUUCAAUAGCAAAGUGUUGAGCCUCAGCUAUGAAGUGGAGACAAUUGAGUAGCUCAAGCUGAUGGUGCCAGAGUUGAGGAAGGAAGUAUCAAGCAAAGAGUUUUGGAUUUACUAAACAAGGCAUCGUGGUUGAGGGUCAGGCUGAAACAAUAAAAUCGGACUUACUCAUAAAUAAUAACAAAAACAUUUUACGUCCGAAAAUCUUGUGAAUAUCGGGAAAUUCAUGGGUAGGGAGGAGCAAAGUAAUCUAUGAUAAUAAAGAAUUUUAGAGUGAAUAAAUUUAGGGUGUGUUUUGCACGAUUUUAAAAAAUGGGUUUUCU
rnacentral:misc_RNA from 1 species